rnacentral:sRNA from 1 species
GCACGACCGGAAAACGAUGAAGGGUCCC